rnacentral:rRNA from 1 species
UACGGAGGAUGCGAGCGUUAUCCGGAUUUAUUGGGUUUAAAGGGUGCGUAGGCUGGUAAUUAAGUCAGUGGUGAAAUACUCCGGCUCAACCGGGGGGCUGCCGUUGAUACUGGUUACCUUGAGUUUAGAUGAUGUGGGCGGAAUGUGUCAUGUAGCGGUGAAAUGCAUAGAGAUGACACAGAACACCGAUAGCGAAGGCAGCUCACAAAGCUAUUACUGACGCUGAUGCACGAAAGCGUGGGGAUCAAACAU